AGCAGAUCUGGAUACCGGGCGCUUCAUAUAGGACCACUGGAUACUGAAAGGUGCUUUAUCUGUUGAUGUCUUUAAGGUUUCUUGGAAGGUUCCUUCUGGAAUAUCAGGAUGAUGCUAAACACAGAAGUCUCAUGGAAUAAAGUUUUAACAGACAACAAUAUCAAAGGCCUCUUUGACUGCUUACGAGGCCUCUAUACUGAAGGUGAAGGGGAUGCGAGUGAACGUGUGGCCAGUUUUAACAGCUGGCUUGAGAGAUCAGCAGAACUGGCCAAGAAGGAGCUGUUAAUGCUCUGUGAGUAGGUGAAAUCUUAUUAAACAUUGAGGUUUACCUUU
ensembl:lncRNA